rnacentral:rRNA from 1 species
GUCGGGAAUAUUGCGCAAUGGAGGAAACUCUGACGCAGUGACGCCGCGUAUAGGAAGAAGGUUUUCGGAUUGUAAACUAUUGUCGUUAGGGAAGAAAAAGGACAGUACCUAAGGAGGAAGCUCCGGCUAACUACGUGCCAGCAGCCGCGGUAAUACGUAGGGAGCGAGCGUUAUCCGGAUUUAUUGGGUGUAAAGGGUGCGUAGACGGGUCUACAAGUUAGUUGUGAAAUCCCUCGGCUUAACUGAGGAACUGCAGCUAAAACUAUAGAUCUUGAGUGCAGGAGAGGUAAGUGGAAUUCCUAGUGUAGCGGUGAAAUGCGUAGAUAUUAGGAGGAACACCAGUGGCGAAGGCGACUUACUGGACUGUAACUGACGUUGAGGCACGAAAGUGUGGGGAGCAAACAGG